rnacentral:rRNA from 1 species
CUGAAAGCAUCUAAGCAUGAAGCCCCCCUCAAGAUGAGAUUUCCCAACUUCGGUUAUAAGAUCCCUCGAAGAUGACGAGGUUAAUAGGUUCGAGGUGGAAGCGUGGUGACACGUGGAGCUGACGAAUACUAAUCGAUCGAAGACUUAAUCAAUUUUUAAA